rfam:Triticum urartu cultivar G1812 contig877852, whole genome shotgun sequence.
AGCCUAUGAUGUGAGAUUAAUAUUUGCUACUCUUGAUGGAUGCUCCCAGUUGAUGACCAUAAUCACCAAGAUCUCUGAGGCC